rnacentral:rRNA from 1 species
UUUUUAUGGAGAGUUUGAUCCUGGCUCAGAGUGAACGCUGGCGGCGUGCCUAAUACAUGCAAGUCGAACGAUGAAGCUUUUAGCUUGCUAGAAGUGGAUUAGUGGCGCACGGGUGAGUAACGCAUAGAUAACAUGCCCUUUAGUCUGGGAUAGCCAUUGGAAACGAUGAUUAAUACUAGAUACACCCCAUGGGGGAAAGUGGCUCUUAAAUAAGUCUAUAUUUGUUGUUGUGUAUAUUCUUUGGAUAAAGUUAAGGAGUUUUUUAUGGCUGUAAAUAAAGAUAGUAUAGGUAAUUUUAUAUCGUGCGUGGCGGAUAAAUUAACAAAUUCUGGGGAAGGUGAUAAAGUUUCUAAAUUUACAGAUUCUAUACAAAAAUCUUUUGCAAGUAAAAAGGAUUUGGGUAUUUCUGACGUAAAAGAUGCUGCAAGUAGUGCUGGUAUUUCUAUUGCACUUAUCGCUGUUGUUUUAGAUUGUGCUUACAAGCACUUUAUAAAGUAGUUUUAAGAUUUAAGAAUAUACACACAAUAAAUCAAAUUUAGAUUUAUUUAAGAGCUUACGCUAAAGGAUUGGUCUAUGUCCUAUCAGCUUGUUGGUGAGGUAAUGGCUUACCAAGGCUAUGACGGGUAUCCGGCCUGAGAGGGUGAACGGACACACUGGAACUGAGACACGGUCCAGACUCCUACGGGAGGCAGCAGUAGGGAAUAUUGCUCAAUGGGCGAAAGCCUGAAGCAGCAACGCCGCGUGGAGGAUGAAGGUUUUAGGAUUGUAAACUCCUUUUGUUAGAGAAGAUUAUGACGGUAUCUAACGAAUAAGCACCGGCUAACUCCGUGCCAGCAGCCGCGGUAAUACGGAGGGUGCAAGCGUUACUCGGAAUCACUGGGCGUAAAGAGUGCGUAGGCGGGAAAGUAAGUCAGAUGUGAAAUCCUGUAGCUUAACUACAGAACUGCAUUUGAAACUACUUUUCUAGAGUGUGGGAGAGGUAGGUGGAAUUCUUGGUGUAGGGGUAAAAUCCGUAGAGAUCAAGAGGAAUACUCAUUGCGAAGGCGACCUACUAGAACAUUACUGACGCUCAUGCACGAAAGCGUGGGGAGCAAACAGGAUUAGAUACCCUGGUAGUCCACGCCCUAAACGAUGAAUGCUAGUUGUUGCCCUGCUUGUCAGGGCAGUAAUGCAGCUAACGCAUUAAGCAUUCCGCCUGGGGAGUACGGUCGCAAGAUUAAAACUCAAAGGAAUAGACGGGGACCCGCACAAGCGGUGGAGCAUGUGGUUUAAUUCGAAGAUACACGAAGAACCUUACCUAGGCUUGACAUUGAUAGAAUCUGCUAGAGAUAGCGGAGUGUCUAGCUUGCUAGACCUUGAAAACAGGUGCUGCACGGCUGUCGUCAGCUCGUGUCGUGAGAUGUUGGGUUAAGUCCCGCAACGAGCGCAACCCUCGUUCUUAGUUGCUAGCAGUUCGGCUGAGCACUCUAAGAAGACUGCCUUCGUAAGAAGGAGGAAGGUGAGGACGACGUCAAGUCAUCAUGGCCCUUACGCCUAGGGCUACACACGUGCUACAAUGGGGUGCACAAUGAGAUGCAAUAUCGCGAGAUGGAGCUAAUCUCUAAAACAUCUCUCAGUUCGGAUUGUAGUCUGCAACUCGACUACAUGAAGCUGGAAUCGCUAGUAAUCGCAAAUCAGCCAUGUUGCGGUGAAUACGUUCCCGGGUCUUGUACUCACCGCCCGUCACACCAUGGGAGUUGUAUUCGCCUUAAGUCGGGAUACUAAAUUGGUUACCGCCCACGGCGGAUGCAGCGACUGGGGUGAAGUCGUAACAAGGUAACCGUAGGUGAACCUGCGGUUGGAUCACCUCCUUUCUA